rnacentral:misc_RNA from 1 species
AUGAGUUAGGGUCUUCUAGGCCCGAUCUCCAACCCUUUGUAUAAUUACCAUGUUGCUUUGGCGGGCCCGUCUGUAACCGGACCGCCGGAGGUUUCUCACCUCUGGCCAGCGCUCGUCAGUAGCCCACAACAAAUUCUUAUAACAAUGUUAAAUCUGAAAAAUAGUUAAAUAAACUA